rnacentral:rRNA from 1 species
GGGGAAUUUUCCGCAAUGGGCGAAAGCCUGACGGAGCAAUACCGCGUGAGGGAUGAAGGCCUAUGGGUUGUAAACCUCUUUUUUCAGGGAGGAAUCAAUGACGUGUACUUGAAGAAUAAGCAUCGGCUAACUCCGUGCCAGCAGCCGCGGUAAGACGGAGGAUGCAAGUGUUAUCCGGAAUCACUGGGCGUAAAGCGUCUGUAGGUGGUUUAAUAAGUCAAUUGUUAAAUCUUGAAGCUCAACUUCAAAAUCGCAGUCGAAACUAUUAGACUAGAGUAUAGUAGGGGUAAAGGGAAUUUCCAGUGGAGCGGUGAAAUGCGUAGAUAUUGGAAGGAACACCGAUGGCGAAGGCACUUUACUGGGCUAUUACUAACACUCAGAGACGAAAGCUAGGGUAGCAAAUGGGAUUAGAUACCCCAGUAGUC